AUUUAUUUAAAACUCACAUCUAAUUUUAUACUUUAUAAGCGUUUCAGUUGUUUAUUAUUUUGUUUUUUUUCCCCACCAUAAUUUCGUUUAGAAUGGAUUGUGUGUUAAAUUGCUCUAGAGAUUGGAUUUAUACAAUUUGGCUUGUGAUCAUGUAAAUAUGAUGUAGCUUAAGUAAAAAAACAACAACUUUGUCUUUAAGUAGAAGGCAUAAUUAAACCGAAAAUAAACAU